rnacentral:lncRNA from 1 species
GUGGUCUCAGCUGCCUCCUGCCUCCCUCAGCUGCACCCAAAUCCUCUCAGGGCAGGAUAAAGGAAACUCAAUCCACUCAUCUUGUUGAUUGAAAAAGAAAAUGCUAAAAUGUAAAAGGAAGAGAAGAGAGGACUUAAUAUUGAUUAUUGCCUCCAAUACUUUGUGGAAUCUUCUCUUCUGUCUCCGUUGAGAGUAAGGAUGCUCUCCACAGUGAAUGACAGUGGAAGUUUAGGAAACACAGGUGCAGUCACAGGAGGGAAAUUCACCCAGAAAUUAUAAAGGAGAUCAUCUGUACAGUGUCUUCUUCAAGGCCAAGUCCUCCAGAAAGGCGGACACUAAUACUUCAUAAAAGGAAAAACUCACUAACUAAGCUCAAACUCACAAGGACACUGAAGGGAAUUGAUUGAGAUGAAAAAGGACUGGAGUCUU